CAAAGUGGAGAGACCUGUAGGCUAAUAGGUUGGAGUCAGAUCAUGUUGCAUAGCAUCGCGUCAAAACACACAGUAUUCUCAGUGAGGAACUUUAAAAGUGACAGUAUCCGCAUUAGCUACUAUCCCAAGACGUGUAUUAAGUUCCUUCAUUAACAUUUACUAAGUAAACAGCACCAACUGUGCUAUAUAUACUACAUCGUGAAUAGUUAUACAGCAAUACUGGAGUGUAGGUCCUCCAAACUGUUCUGGAUAAUACUGGAGUGUAGGUCCUCCAAACUGCUCUGGAUAAUACUGGAGUGUAGGUCCUCCAAACUGCUCUGGAUAAUACUGGAGUGUAGGUCCUCCAAACUGCUCUGGAUAAUACUGGAGUGUAGGUCCUCCAAACUGCUCUGGAUAAUACUGGAGUGUAGGUCCUCCAAACUGCUCUGGAUAAUACUGGAGUGUAGGUCCUCCAAACUGCUCUGGAUAAUACUGGAGUGUAGGUCCUCCAAACUGCUCUGGAUAAUACUGGAGUAUAGGUCCUCCAAACUGCUCUGGAUAAUACUGGAGUGUAGGUCCUCCAAACUGCUCUGGAUAAUACUGGAGUGUAGGUCCUCCAAACUGCUCUGGAUAAUACUGGAGUGUAGGUCCUCCAAACUGCUCUGGAUAAUACUGGAGUGUAGGUCCUCCAAACUGCUCUGGAUAAUACUGGAGUGUAGGUCCUCCAAACUGCUCUGGAUAAUACUGGAGUGUAGGUCCUCCAAACUGCUCUGGAUAAUACUGGAGUGUAGGUCCUCCAAACUGCUCUGGAUAAUACUGGAGUGUAGGUCCUCCAAACUGCUCUGGAUAAUACUGGAGUGUAGGUCCUCCAAACUGCUCUGGAUAAUACUGGAGUGUAGGUCCUCCAAACUGCUCUGGAUAAUACUGGAGUGUAGGUACUUCAAACUGCUCUGGAUAAUACUGUAGUGUAGGUCCUCCAAACUGCUCUGGAUAAUACUGGAGUGUAGGUCUGAUCAAACUGCUAUGGAUAAUACUGGCGUGUAUGGCACCUAUUCAGUGCACUACUUUUGUCCAGGGCCCCUAGGGCUCCAUUUGGGACGCAGCCUAGUACACUGCUGUCUUUCCACCGUAAACUCCUGGUUUCAGUUAUAAUUCUAACCUCUGAUCCAAAGCUCAUGGAGGGCUAACUGUGUUGUCCUUGUCACAGAUCUGUUUUAGCUAGCUAUUAGCUACCAGACCUGUGUGGUUAUUCUCCCUGUGGGGUUGUCUGUCUAACGUACCUGAUCGUUACGGUUAAAGCCUUGGCUUGGCAACACACAGAUGACUUACUUGACUUGACUUAGGUUACGUCCCAAAUGGCACCCUAUUCCCAAACAUA